rnacentral:lncRNA from 1 species
AGAAAUACGUACUACCACAAAUGUUGGGUCAUGAUAUUUCUCCUAUUGGGCCAAGUAGAUUGGGCUUACUUAUUUGAUUAGUCUACUGGGUCCUCAUUAGUGAGUCUUAAAGUUACUGGGUAUGGUCAUUAUAUUAUUCCUGUUGGGUCCUUUUUAGAUCGGGUCGGAUCAAUGGAUCGACCCAUUAGAUAUUAUAAUAUCUCUAUAUUUGACUUGUAAUGAUUAAAAAGGAAGGUUGUUGACUGUUGUGACUGCAAUGCAUUAAUGUGGAUGAGAUUAUAACCGGUCGGCGGUAUAAACAGUGCAUGAAAAAGGUGACAGCCUGUAUGCAGUCGGCAGAAAUCACUGAGGAGUGGGGGGCUGUGUCAGACGGUAGUAGGUGGCACGGUAAACCGGGCAAGAGAGUAUAACCUAGCAAGGAAGUCUUCAAAAAAAGGUACACACAUUCAACUAAGAUUUUUAUCUCUCAAGACUUUAGAUAUUUUCA